GAUUCUUAGUUGUUUUCAUUUUCCCUAAUUUAGUAGAUUAUUAGGGUUUCGAAAUUUUGGUAUUCUGUUGAAAUUAACGCAAUUUUUUCUUAAUUUUGCAGUUGUUGUGCUUAGUCUCUGUGGGUUUGGAUUAAUAGGCAAAAUUGAAGAUUGUUGCGUUGCAGCUUUCUGUGGUCCGAAUUGCCUCGAAUUGUGUCUUUGGACUGAGGAUGCAGGUUUGACACUUUGUCGAAUUGGAACAAUGAUGAUGGAGAAGCCAUGGGAGCUGCAAAACAUGUUUUGUUUGCAGCUCCCUUAACUGAUACAAGUGAAUAUAUUUGGUGCUUUACGUUUUUUUUUUUUUU